rnacentral:lncRNA from 1 species
UGUCAGGUCAAUUUUGCUAUAUAAUAUAAUUUUUCUUAAACUUUAAUAAUAUUUUGCUAAAAGAUUUAUAAAUUUUAUCGGGUCGGUUGACCCAAUAAACCCUCUAAAUUCGCCCCUGUCGGCGCUCAGCCCCUCACCUAUGGACAUGUAAAAUUGAAGUAGCAAGCAUAAAGAGAAACUGAAAGAUAUGACAAACAAGUUCAGGGAGUGUCGUGUUCAAUCCUUCAACUUCAAGGCGACAAAAACGAAGCACUGCAACUCAAAUACAUAAAAAAAACUGUCAAAAUAAAAGUAGAACUACGUACGUACCGUAUGAGAAUGUUUCAUGAGUGCGCUGCGCAUCGAUCGAUCCAUGCGUCUCCAAAGUCCAAAUAAAGUGAUGCACCCUUUAUCUAAUACGUAAUGCAUGCGAUUGAUGCAUGCAUGAACUAACUAUUCACAAAAUCACAAGACUACUAGGGCCAGUCGGUCUGCUGCUUCUGCACCACCACCUUAUCUGACCCCCAGUUGCGCACCGUGCUGAGC